GACGAACGCUGGCGGCGUGCCUAAUACAUGCAAGUCGAGCGAAUGGAUUAAGAGCUUGCUCUUAUGAAGUUAGCGGCGGACGGGUGAGUAACACGUGGGUAACCUGCCCAUAAGACUGGGAUAACUCCGGGAAACCGGGGCUAAUACCGGAUAACAUUUUGAACCGCAUGGUUCGAAAUUGAAAGGCGGCUUCGGCUGUCACUUAUGGAUGGACCCGCGAGGCAUUAGCUAGUUGGUGCGGUAACGGCUCACCAAGGCAACGAUGCGUAGCCGACCUGAGAGGGGGAUCGGCCACACUGGGACUGAGACACGGCCCAGACUCCUACGGGAGGCAGCAGUAGGGAAUCUUCCGCAAUGGACGAAAGUCUGACGGAGCAACGCCGCGUGAGUGAUGAAGGCUUUCGGGUCGUAAAACUCUGUUGUUAGGGAAGAACAAGUGCUAGUUGAAUAAGCUGGCACCUUGACGGUACCUAACCAGAAAGCCACGGCUAACUACGUGCCAGCCGCCGCCGUAA
rnacentral:rRNA from 1 species